rnacentral:rRNA from 1 species
AUGUGCUGUGAGCUCGAUGAGUAGGGCGGGACACGUGGUAUCCUGUCUGAAUAUGGGGGGACCAUCCUCCAAGGCUAAAUACUCCUGACUGACCGAUAGUGAACCAGUACCGUGAGGGAAAGGCGAAAAGAACCCCGGCGAGGGGAGUGAAAAAGAACCUGAAACCGUGUACGUACAAGCAGUGGGAGCACAGGUUUACCUGUGUGACUGCGUACCUUUUGUAUAAUGGGUCAGCGACUUAUAUUCUGUAGCAAGGUUAACCGAAUAGGGGAGCCGGAGGGAAACCGAGUCUUAAUUGGGCGUUAAGUUGCAGGGUAUAGACCCGAAACCCGGUGAUCUAGCCAUGGGCAGGUUGAAGGUUGGGUAACACUAACUGGAGGACCGAACCGACUAAUGUUGAAAAAUUAGCGGAUGACCUGUGGCUGGGGGUGAAAGGCCAAUCAAACCGGGAGAUAGCUGGUUCUCCCCGAAAGCUAUUUAGGUAGCGCCUCGUGAAUUCAUCUCCGGGGGUAGAGCACUGUUUCGGCUAGGGGGCCAUCCCGGCUUACCAACCCGAUGCAAACUGCGAAUACCGGAGAAUGUUAUCACGGGAGACACACGGCGGGUGCUAACGUCCGUCGUGAAGAGGGAAACAACCCAGACCGCCAGCUAAGGUCCCAAAGUCAUGGUUAAGUGGGAAACGAUGUGGGAAGGCCCAGACAGCCAGGAUGUUGGCUUAGAAGCAGCCAUCAUUUAAAGAAAGCGUAAUAGCUCACUGGUCGAGUCGGCCUGCGCGGAAGAUGUAACGGGGCUAAACCAUGCACCGAAGCUGCGGCAGCGACGCUUAUGCGUUGUUGGGUAGGGGAGCGUUCUGUAAGCCUGUGAAGGUGGCCUGUGAGGGUUGCUGGAGGUAUCAGAAGUGCGAAUGCUGACAUAAGUAACGAUAAAGCGGGUGAAAAGCC